rnacentral:rRNA from 1 species
AAGCCAGACUCCUACGGGAGGCAGCAGUGGGGGAUAUUGCACAAUGGGGGAAACCCUGAUGCAGCAACGCCGCGUGAGUGAAGAAGUAUUUCGGUAUGUAAAGCUCUAUCAGCAGGGAAGAAGAUGACGGUACCUGAUUAAGAAGCCCCGGCUAACUACGUGCCAGCAGCCGCGGUAAUACGUAGGGGGCAAGCGUUAUCCGGAUUUACUGGGUGUAAAGGGAGCGCAGACGGCAGUGCAAGUCUGGAGUGAAAGCCCGGGGCCCAACCCCGGAACUGCUCUGGAAACUGUGCGGCUAGAGUACUGGAGGGGCAGGCGGAAUUCCUAGUGUAGCGGUGAAAUGCGUAGAUAUUAGGAGGAACACCAGUGGCGAAGGCGGCCUGCUGGACAGUAACUGACGUUGAGGCCCGAAAGCGUGGGGAGCAAACAGGAUUAGAUACCCGAGUAU